ACAUGCCUACAACAUAGUGUUAAUGCAAUGGAUCCCAUUAGAAAUUUGAAGUUAAGAGCACUUGGGAUAGAGUAGUACUGGGAUGGGUGACCACCUGGGAAGUCUUAGUAUUUUGCAUGCC
rnacentral:rRNA from 1 species